UACGUAGGGUGCGAGCGUUGUCCGGAAUUAUUGGGCGUAAAGGGCUCGUAGGUGGCCAACUAAGUCAGACGUGAAAUCCCUCGGCUUAACCGGGGAACUGCGUCUGAUACUGGAUGGCUUGAGUUCGGGAGAGGGAUGCGGAAUUCCAGGUGUAGCGGUGAAAUGCGUAGAUAUCUGGAGGAACACCGGUGGCGAAGGCGGCAUCCUGGACCAAUUCUGACGCUGAGGAGCGAAAGCCAGGGGAGCAAACGGG
rnacentral:rRNA from 1 species